CUGAAAGGGGAAUUGUUCUCCUGGGGAAUCUGCUGAAAGCAUGUGCACAAAAUGAGGAUAUUGAGAAAAACAUUUGUGGUAAUGUGCAAGACUUAUUACAAUAGGAAACUCUGUUACAUCAUCAACACUGAAUUUCCAGCUGGGCCUGCCCAUGCAGUCACGUUUGUCACUGUUGACUGAAGCAUGUUUGAUUGGGCAAAUGACAUAGGGUCUUUGAUAACCACUGUUCACUCAACACUACAAUUUCACAACUUAUGAUAAAGAUGUAUUAAAAU